rnacentral:piRNA from 1 species
UNCGUGGUGCAGGUUGCAGCAUCCGGUGG